GUUAGAGGGAGUGGGGUAUAGUGACACAGUAACAGAGGGAUUGAGGGUCCUGCUCAGUGAGUUUACAUGUUAGAGGGAGUGGGGUAUAGUGACACAGUAACAGAGGGAUUGAGGGCCCUGCUCAGUGAGUUUACAUGUUAGAGGGAGUGGGGUAUAGUGACAGUAACAGAGGGAUUGAGGGCCUGCUCAGUGAGUUUACAUGUUAGAGGGAGUGGGGUAUAGUGACACAGUAACAGAGGGAUUGAGGGCCUGCUCAGUGAGUUUACAUGUUAGCGGGAGUGGGGUAUAGUGACACAGUAACAGAGGGAUUGAGGUCCUGCUCAGUGAGCUUACAUGCUAGAGGGAGUGGGGUAUAGUGACACAGUAACAGAGGGAUUGAGGGCCUGCUCAGUGAGUUUACAUGUUAGAGGGAGUGGGGUAUAGUGACACAGUAACAGAGGGAUUGAGGGCCCUGCUCAGUGAGUUUACAUGUUAGAGGGAGUGGGGUAUAGUGAC